UGAGUACGAGAUGCUACGGCGUCGAAGCAGUCUAGGUCAUACUUCCAAGAAAAGCUUGCACUGUCAUAAACAAAGAAUGCCUGUACCAUAACCGACACAGGUGGGUAGGUAGAGUAUACUAAGGGGCGCGAGAUAACUCUCUCUAAGGAACUCGGCAAAAUGACUCCGUAACUUCGGGAGAAGGAGUGCCUUAUUUUUAAGGUUGCAAUAACAAGAUCCAAGCAACUGUUUACCAAAAACACAGGUCUCCGCUAAGUCGUAAGACGAUGUAUGGGGGCUGACGCCUGCCCAGUGCCAGAAGGUUAAAGAAGUUGGUUAGCAUUCGCGAAGCUGAUAACUGAAGCCCUGGUGAACGGCGGCCGUAACAAUAACGGUCCUAAGGUAGCGAAAUUCCUUGUCGGGUAAGUUCCGACCCGCACGAAAGGCGUAAUGAUUUGGAUACUGUCUCGGAGAGGGGCUCGGUGAAAUAGACUUGUCUGUGAAGAUGCGGACUACCUGCACCUGGACAGAAAGACCCUAUGAAGCUUUACUGUAACUUGAGAUUGAAAUUGGACUUUAUUUGCGCAGUAUAGGUGGGAGGCGUUGAGAAUAAUCUUGCGGGAUUAUCGGAGCCAUCAGUGAGAUACCACUCUUGUAAUGUUAGAUUUCUAACUUUGUAUCAUUAUCUGGUCAAAGAACAGUUUCAGGCGGGCAGUUUGACUGGGGCGGUCGCCUCCCAAAGGGUAACGGAGGCGCACAAAGGUUUCCUCUGAACGGGUAGAAAUCGUAUCUAGAGUGUAAAGGCAUAAGGAAGCUUGACUGUGAGACCUACAAGUCGAGCAGGGACGAAAGUCGGUCUUAGUGAUCUGACGGUGCUGAGUGGAAAGGCCGUCACUCAACGGAUAAAAGUUACUCUAAGGAUAACAGGCUGAUCUCCCCCAAGAGUUCACAUCGACGGGGAGGUUUGGCACCUCGAUGUCGGCUCAUCGCAUCCUGGGGCGGUAGUACGUCCCAAGGGUUGGGCUGUUCGCCCAUGAAAGCGGUACGCGAGCUGGGUUCAGAACGUCGUGAGACAGUUCGGUCCAUAUCCGGUGUAGGCGUUAGGAUAUUGAAAGGAGCCUUCUCUAGUACGAGAGGACCGAGAAGGACAUACCUCUGGUGUGCCAGUUAUCGUGCCAACGGUAAACGCUGGGUAGCUAUGUAUGGAGUGGAUAACCGCUGAAAGCAUCUAAGUGGGAAGCCCACCCUAAGAUAAGUAUUCUCAUCA
rnacentral:rRNA from 1 species